GACGAACGCUGGCGGCGCGCUUAACACAUGCAAGUCGAACGGAAAGGCCUGCUUUCCCUUGUGGGUUGCGGGUACUCGAGUGGCGAACGGGUGAGUAACACGUGAGUGAUCUGCCCCCAACUUGGGUAAGCCUGGGAAACUGGGUCUAAUUCCCGAUAGGACUGCAGGGUGGUGCCUGUGGUGGUAAACGAUUUUCUAGUGGUUGGGGAUGGGCUCGCGGGCUAGCAGCUUGUGGGUGGGGGAAUGGCCUUCCAAGGCGGCGACGGGUAGCCGGCCUGGGGGGGUGGACGGGCACAUUUGGACUGCGACACGGGCCAGACUCCUACGGGAGGCAGCAGUGGGGAGUAAUGCACGAUGGGCGGAAGCCUGAUGCAGCGACGCUGCGUGAGGGAUGCCGGGCUUCGGGUGGUGGACUCCUUUCGACCGCGAGGUAGCCACCUGGUUGGAAGGGUGGUGACGGUAGUGGUAGAAGAAGCACCGGCUAACUACGUG
rnacentral:rRNA from 1 species